rnacentral:rRNA from 1 species
CCUACUCUUGUCAUCCAGAGAACUUAGCAGAGAUGCAUGGGUGCCUUCGGGAACUCUGAGACAGGUGCUGCAUGGCCGUCGUCAGCUCGUGUUGUGAAAUGUUGGGUUAAGUCCCGCAACGAGCGCAACCCUUAUCCUUUGUUGCCAGCGGUUCGGCCGGGAACUCAAAGGAGACUGCCAGUGAUAAACUGGAGGAAGGUGGGGAUGACGUCAAGUCAUCAUGGCCCUUACGAGUAGGGCUACACACGUGCUACAAUGGCGCAUACAAAGAGAAGCGACCUCGCGAGAGCAAGCGGACCUCAUAAAGUGCGUCGUAGUCCGGAUUGGAGUCUGCAACUCGACUCCAUGAAGUCGGAAUCGCUAGGAAUCGUAGAUCAGAAUGCUACGGGAAUA